UCUCAGCCUUUUUUUUUUUCGUGGAAACCAUUUCUGUUAAACUAAUGGGUUGAGGAAAUUAGGGCUGAGGGAAUUAGGGCUGAGGAUAUAAGAGAUCGAUCUCUAGAGCUUCGAACGGCCAGCGUUGGCGUCCACGAGUGGAGUUCCUAUCCCACUACUAGCGUCCGCCCCAAUCAACCCCAGAAGACUCCGCUGGAACUUCCAACGAGCAGAGAUCUCUGGAGCUUCCAACGGCCAGCGUGGGCAUCCAUGAGAUUACUUCCUGCCCGACGGCCAGCCUCCACCCUCAAUCAACCCUAGAAGACUCGUCUGGAGGUUCCAACGCCGACUUCGUGAGACUCCCUUCCCUUAGCAGUAGCCAAAGAUUGCCCCCUUGUAACCAGUCUCUAUGGGUAAUUGGGUCUGGCCACCUUGCUUCUGCCGACAUGUAUUAAGUCAGGUGGUAAGCGGCACUUAGAGCUACGACCCUUCAUAUGGUUUGGAUCAUAGUUGCUGAAUAGAGUAAAAAGUCUCGAAUUUCGGCCAAGUUGUCAAUAGGGGGAAGGAGAAACUUAUUUCAAGUAAUCUAUUGCAGAUCAUUGCCUAUUUAGUAAAGAUGGAUAAGGCUUGGAUGCAUAUCGAAGAUAGAUUGCAUUCCAACCAUUAUGGUGAAGGUGUUAGACAAUUCAUGGCUAUGGCUCAAGCCCAUUCACCUGGAUCUGAUCGUAUUAGAUGUCCAUGUAAGAGAUGCCGAAAUAGAGCUUUCCACACUGUUAGCCUAGUCGAAGAUCAUUUGUUCAUCAUAGGGAUUGAUCCAACUUAUACGGAAUGGAUAUUUCAUGGGGAAGAUGAUCCUUUCCUAGAUGCUACAUUUUCAGACGAAGAAGGUGAUGAUGCAUCGGCUUACAAUGACUACAUCGAUGAUGUCGAUGAUAUGUUAGAUGACAUUCGGGUUAGGUCGUUCAUGGAUAAUUCAGCUACAAAUCAAGGAAAUGCAAACAUAAAUGAUGAACCACCCACCUCUAAUACUUCAACAAACCUUAAUUUCGAGGAGUUGGUAGCUGACGCACGACGACCACUUUAUCCUUCAUGUGCAAAGUUCUCGAAGCUCUCAUUUAUAGUCAAAUUGCUUCACAUCAAGACACUUGGUGGUUGGACAGUGAAGUCUUUUGACAUGGUUAUAAAGCUUUUGCAAGCUGCAUUUCCCGAUGCCCUUUUUCCUGACUCAU